ACAUAAAGGCCCAGUCCUUUAUGUUGUCCCAAACUGAGACAACUCUGCAGAACCACCUCAGUUUUGGAGAUCCCCAUGGAGUCGGCUGAGGUCAUUGUUGAGGCUGCAUUAUGACCCAAGUUCUCUGUGUGCCCAGUGCUGCUUUCUUCCCUGCCCUAUGCUGAUCCUGAGAACACUUCCUAAUAACUGUCCUGCAUGCUACUCUCUAGCUUAAAGUCUGCAUCCCUGGGGAGCCCCCAUGAGGCAAGCCCUAUAAGGUGACAUGUGCCCAAUACAGGGAACAGGCAUUAGGACGGACAAGAAUAUACAGUUAAGACUUCUCUCUCAGAUCUGCUAAAUAACACUGGUGAUUUUGGGAGCUGUGGAGAAAAGCCUCUGUUUCCCAAGUGUCUCGUUAGGAAUGAUAGUAAGAACUACCUUUGUAAAGGGCUUAUUCUGGGCCAGGUACCCCACUAAGCACUUUACAGGCAUCAUCUCAUUAAUCUUAACCACCAUCCUGCUGAGUAGAGGGUAUGAGCGUUUUAUUGAUGUGGCCACCGUUAGUACACGUAAAUGUUAGUAAACCAGGUCAGUGAAUGGUAGAGUGGGACUGGAUCCCACUCGGUGCACCCACUCAGAGACACUAUCCCUGACUCUUCUUGCAGGUAGACAAGGAAGCAUCAGAGGGACUCAGGGCAUUGCCCUCAGGGGAGUUCUUGGUGCUCAAUGCCUGCAUACCUCACUUAUGCCAUGAAUGUAUUCCUUAAAGGAAACGAUAAAAAUAUCACUUUGGACCAUGGAUGCUAGUGUACAAGAUCCAUUCUUGCUCCCACUGAGCUAAGAAGCCACAUAUUCUGAAAGUGAAGAUGAGGAAUCGAAAAUUAAACAACUCGAUAAGUGAAAUACCCAGGAUUCCCCAAAUGGACUGGCUUCAAGAAGGGUAUCCUUUUCACCACACCACACUGCCUUAUUAAGACCAUUUCCAAAUUAAUUAUGGCACUUGGAUUUCAUACUCCAUAGAAAUACGUUGAUAUAAUUGUGCCUUUUCUCUUACUUCUCAGGGACUAAAAUAAAAGUAGGGUAUAAAUUGUUUUACUUUUAUACUCUACAUAUCCAGAGGUUGCAGAUGGGCAGCCCACAGGGUGCCUUGUUUUGCUUGAAUAGAAUGGUGUUGAUCCACCUGGUAUUUUAAUAAAUUUUGAAUAAGUUGCCAACAUUUAAACAAUUAGAAGAUUUUUCUUGAAAUGUUUUGAUUUCCAGCUGCCUUUGACAGCAAAGGGCUGAUGUCCUCACCAGGUAGACAGCCCCUAAAUCAGAGGACUGUGCCCUCUCAGUUAAUUAAAGCCUCCACAUCUUCCUGUUGUAUUCCCAGCACUGAAAUCAAAGAGUAGUGGCUUUUUACCACCAUGUGUUUACUGAUAUUUUUCUUACUGUAAAAAGAAGAGGA